GCCUGGAAUGCACUGCGUAGCCAGAGAAGGCCAGGCACUUCUUCACGCCCAGCUCGUCUUUCACAACGCCAAGUCAGAGGUGUUUUUAUUUGUGGCUCAAGUGGCCCGGUUUGGAAUGAGCUGUUCUGGGUGGAAUUUCAGCAAAAUAAGUUUCCGAGAGAUCAAGGGCUGCGCUCCCCGCUCCAGCCCUCCGGGCCCUGGCGAGCUCUGAGCCUGCACGCAGUAGCAGGCGUGCGGGAGAAUCAUGAAAAUAUGCAAAACUGGGCAUUGUUUCAAAGCGGUCUCUGUCGCUCUUUGUUGCCUUUGUGUUAACAACCGUCAGUGGCGCGGUCAGGAGGAGAGAUCUCGCGGAGACCCUUCCAGGGAAAUUGUUGAUAUCUGCCCACUCGGGAUUCGGCGAGAACCGGAGGCGCCGCUGGCUUGGCCUCGGGUGAACCAGCCGCGAGGGAGCCCCUGCACACGGGCCGGUGCCUGUGCCUUCCCGGACCACGGCGGGGCCCUGACAGGGAGAAGCAGGGAAGCUUCAACAAAACAAUCGUCUCCAAAGGACUUGCUGCCCUGGUUGUGUCUUUCUGUUUUCCCAAUGCUCUCGGGUUCCGGAACCUUCCCCCGAAGCUCUGGGCCCACAAGGUGCCAGCCCUGCUCUGCUGUCCGCCGCGCGUCACGUCAGGUUCACCAGUGACAUAUCCGCACUUAGCAGGAGUGACCUCGCCUCUCAGAGCGUUGCGACGCGUGUGGGUGGCUUAGUGGAGCUGUUUAUUCUCAGGCUGGUAACAUUUUAAUUAAUUAAAGGGGAACGAUCAAUGAGCAUGGACUCUAUUUCCUGUCCCAUAUUUUACAUUUUCCUUUUAAGUUAAAACUCAGAGGUUUUUUUUUUUUUUUUUUUUUAAUUUCAAUAUCUGGCUGCUCACGCCUCUCCUCUCUCCUUCCCUCCCGCUCCGUCUUAAACGUGUUUCUCCAGGGGCACCGGGGGCAGAGGGCUGGCAGUUGUCCUCGCCGCACGGAGCGUCUGAGCCCUGUAGAGUCCUGACGUGCACAAAGCGUGCAGUGACUUGACUAAUGUGACGGCAUCUGGAAAUGCUAAACGGGAGUGAAGCUGCAGGCGCGGGGGCCAGUGCAGGGGGCAGGCGCCGUGUGCACAAAGGGGACGGAGGGCAGGGGGGGCUCUGGGGGCAGACGCCGUGGAGACUGCUGUUGGUGCGGCCGGCCGCCGCGGCCGUGCCCAGCUGCGUGGGCGCUCUUGGCGGUGGGCAUGUCACUUUUAAGCACCCAAUUAAUUGACUUGACAGGGGGCGAGCUUCCUUCCUGCCGAGAGCUCCUACUGCGGACCGGGGCUCUCAUUGUGUGAAAUAUUAAUCGCGGAUCGAAAUUGGGGACCUGAAAUUAUGGUUUAAUGAUCGCUGAUCAAACACAUAUCGCAAAUAAAAGAAAUUAGCAGGGGAGGCGUGAGCGUGCG
rnacentral:lncRNA from 1 species